rnacentral:rRNA from 1 species
UACGUAGGCAGCGAGCGUUGUUCGGAGUUACUGGGCGUAAAGCGUGCGUAGGCGGUGUCUUAAGUUUGUUGUGAAAUCUCCCGGCUCAACCUGGGAACUGCGUCUGAUACUGGAUGGCUUGAAUUCGGGAGAGGGAUGCAGAAUUCCAGGUGUAGCGGUGAAAUGCGUAGAUAUCUGGAGGAAUACCGGUGGCGAAGGCGGCAUCCUGGACCGACAUUGACGCUGAGGAGCGAAAGCUAGGGGAGCAAACGGG